AAGGAGGAUGGACGUUUGAUUAGUACGAAACCGAGGACUUGUUCAUAAAAUUGGGCAGAUUUAGGAACAGAUUUGCAGACAUAAGAAACAUGAUUCAAUGCUAACAGAGGCAUUCUGUUUUCUUCAUCAUAAGAAGAUGUUGUGGAUGAUGAAUCUGAUGAUGCUGAUGACCAGUUGAAGCUUGUUUCCUCAACUGAUUCUGCUUUCACUAUUUCUCUUCCCAUUAAAAAAAACACUUGAGAAAAUGUUACGAUAUAAUCUUGUAAUUAGCUUAAGCUAUAUGGAAA
rnacentral:misc_RNA from 1 species